AUUGAACGCUGGCGGCAUGCCUAACACAUGCAAGUCGAGCGGAUGAAUCGAGCUUGCUCCUGGAUUCAUCCGCGGACGGUUGAAUAAUGCCUAUGAAUCUGCCUUGUAGUGGGGUAUGACGUCCUGAAACGGGCUCUAAUACCGCAAACAUCCUUUGGUCGAAAGUGGGUGGGCUUCGGACCUCACGCCUUCAGAUGAGCAUAGGUCGGAUUAGCUAGGUGGUUGGGGAAUUGCUUACCAAGGCGAGGAUCCGGAACUGGUCUUAGGGGGUGAUCAGUCAGCCUGGAACGGAGACACGGUCCCGACUCCGACGGGGGGAAGCAGUGGGGACUAUUGGACAAUGGGCGAAAGCGUAAUACAGCAAUGCGGCGGAUAUGAAGAAGGUCUUCGGAUUGGAAAGCACUUGAAGUUGGGAGGAAGGGCAGUAAGUUAAUACCUUGCUGUUUUGACGUUACCAAGAGAAUAAGCACCGGCUAACUUCGUG
rnacentral:rRNA from 1 species